rnacentral:rRNA from 1 species
CAGCAGCCGCGGUAAUACCGGCGGCCCGAGUGGCGGUCACUAUUAUUGGGCUUAAAGCGUCCGUAGCCGGGUUGGGAAGUCCUCCGGGAAAUCUGGCCGCUUAACGGUCAGAAUGCCGGAGGAUACUCCCAGCCUAGGGAGCGGGAGAGGCCGAGGGUAUUCCCGGAGUAGGGGUGGAAUCCUAUAAUCCCGGGAGGACCACCUGUGGCGAAGGCGCUCGGCUGGAACGCGUCCGACGGUGAGGGACGAAGGCCAGGGGAGCAAACCGGAUUAGAUACCCGGGUAGUCCUGGCUGUAAACGAUGCGGACUUUGUGUCGGACAAGCUAUGAGCUUGUCCGGUGCCGGAGGGAAACCGUUAAGUCCGCCGCCUGGGGAGUACGGCCGCAAGGCUGAAACUUAAAGGAAUUGGCGGG